ACUCCUACGGGAGGCAGCAGUGGGGAAUAUUGCACAAUGGGCGCAAGCCUGAUGCAGCCAUGCCGCGUGUAUGAAGAAGGCCUUCGGGUUGUAAAGUACUUUCAGCGGGGAGGAAGGUGUUGUGGUUAAUAACCGCAGCAAUUGACGUUACCCGCAGAAGAAGCACCGGCUAACUCCGUGCCAGCAGCCGCGGUAAUACGGAGGGUGCAAGCGUUAAUCGGAAUUACUGGGCGUAAAGCGCACGCAGGCGGUCUGUCAAGUCGGAUGUGAAAUCCCCGGGCUCAACCUGGGAACUGCAUUCGAAACUGGCAGGCUAGAGUCUUGUAGAGGGGGGUAGAAUUCCAGGUGUAGCGGUGAAAUGCGUAGAGAUCUGGAGGAAUACCGGUGGCGAAGGCGGCCCCCUGGACAAAGACUGACC
rnacentral:rRNA from 1 species